GACGAACCGUACGAACGUUAUUCGGAAUCACCGGGCUUAAAGGGUACGUAGGCGGCGCGACAAGUUGGGUGUGAAAUCCCUCGGCUCAACCGAGGAACUGCGCCCAAAACUGUCGUGCUCGAGGGAGACAGAGGUGAGCGGAACUUAGGGUGGAGCGGUGAAAUGCGUUGAUAUCCUAAGGAACACCGGUGGCGAAGGCAGGUCUCUGGGCAUUAACUGACGCUGAGGAGCGAAAGCAUGGGGAGCGAACAGG
rnacentral:rRNA from 1 species